AUAACACUUAGAAAUAGGUGCUAAUACCGCAUAAGCGCACAGAGCCGCAUGGCUCAGUGUGAAAAACUCCGGUGGUGUAAGAUGGAUCCGCGUCUGAUUAGCUGGUUGGCGGGGUAGAAGCCCACCAAGGCGACGAUCAGUAGCCGGCCUGAGAGGGUGAACGGCCACAUUGGGACUGAGACACGGCCCAAACUCCUACGGGAGGCAGCAGUGGGGAAUAUUGCACAAUGGGGGAAACCCUGAUGCAGCAACGCCGCGUGAGUGAAGAAGUCAUUCGUGAUGUAAAGCUCUAUCAGCAGGGAAGAAAAUGACGGUACCUGAGUAAGAAGCCCCGGCUAACUACGUGCCAGCAGCCGCGGUAAUACGUAGGGGGCAAGCGUUAUCCGGAUUUACUGGGUGUAAAGGGAGCGUAGACGGCCAGACAAGUCUGAAGUGAAAAUCCAGCGCUUAACGUUGGAAGUGCUUUGGAAACUGCCGGGCUAGAGUGCAGGAGGGGCAGGCGGAAUUCCUAGUGUAGCGGUGAAAUGCGUAGAUAUUAGGAGGAACACCAGUGGCGAAGGCGGCCUGCUGGACUGCAACUGACGUUGAGGCUCGAAGGCGUGGGGAGCAAACAGGAUUAGAUACCCUGGUAGUCCACGCGGUAAACGAUGAUUACUAGGUGUCGGGGGGCUAGAGCCCUUCGGUG
rnacentral:rRNA from 1 species